rnacentral:rRNA from 1 species
AACCUCCGCAAUGUGAGAAAUCGCGACGGGGGGAUCCCAAGUGCCAUUCUUAACGGGAUGGCUUUUCAUUAGUGUAAAGAGCUUUUGGAAUAAGAGCUGGGCAAGACCGGUGCCAGCCGCCGCGGUAACACCGGCAGCUCUAGUGGUAGCAAUUUUUAUUGGGCCUAAAGCGUCCGUAGCCGGUUUAAUAAGUCUCUGGUGAAAUCCUGCAGCUUAACUGUGGGAAUUGCUGGAGAUACUAUUAGACUUGAGACCGGGAGAGGUUAGAGGUACUCCCAGGGUAGAGGUGAAAUUCUGUAAUCCUGGGAGGACCGCCUGUUGCGAAGGCGUCUAACUGGAACGGUUCUGACGGUGAGGGACGAAAGUUAGGGGCGCGAACCGGAUUAGAUACCCGGGUAGUCCUAACUGUAAACGAUGCGGACUUGGUGUUGGGGUGGCUUUGAGCUGCUCCAGUGCCGAAGGGAAGCUGUUAAGUCCGCCGCCUGGGAAGUACGGUCGCAAGACUAAAACUUAAAGGUAUG